rnacentral:rRNA from 1 species
GAUGAACGCUGGCGGCGUGCCUAAUACAUGCAAGUCGAGCGAACGGACGAGAAGCUUGCUUUUCUGAUGUUAGCGGCGGACGGGUGAGUAACACGUGGAUAACCUACCUAUAAGACUGGGAUAACUUCGGGAAACCGGAGCUAAUACCGGAUAAUAUUUUGAACCGCAUGGUUCAAAAGUGAAAGACGGUCUUGCUGUCACUUAUAGAUGGGUCCGCGCUGCAUUAGCUAGUUGGUAAGGUAACGGCUUACCAAGGCAACGAUGCAUAGCCGACCUGAGAGGGUGAUCGGCCACACUGGAACUGAGACACGGUCCAGACUCCUACGGGAGGCAGCAGUAGGGAAUCUUCCGCAAUGGGCGAAAGCCUGACGGAGCAACGCCGCGUGAGUGAUGAAGGUCUUCGGAUCGUAAAACUCUGUUAUUAGGGAAGAACAUAUGUGUAAGUAACUGUGCACAUCUUGACGGUACCCAAUCAGAAAGCCACGGCUAACUACGUG